rnacentral:rRNA from 1 species
UACGAAGGGGGCUAGCGUUGUUCGGAAUUACUGGGCGUAAAGCGCGUGUAGGCGGGUCUUUAAGUCAGGGGGGAAAUGCCAAGGCUCAACCUUGGAACUGCCUUUGAUACUGGAGACCUUGAGUCCGGGAGAGGUGAGUGGAACUGCGAGUGUAGAGGUGAAAUUCGUAGAUAUUCGCAAGAACACCAGUGGCGAAGGCGGCUCACUGGCCCGGAACUGACGCUGAGACGCGAAAGCGUGGGGAGCAAACAGG